GGCGGGCGGCUGGGCGGUGCCGCGCGGGGGAUGUCGGGACAGGUCGCUCCGUUACCGGGGCAACGGGGGGGUCGGCCGGGUCUGAGCACCCGGGCAAGGCCUGACUCGGCCCCGGGGCCUGGCCUGGGCCCACCGCCCUUAGAGCGGGCCACGGGCGAGACUCCGGCCAGGGCCGGCCCGGCCCCGUCCCCUGGAGCACGGCGUUCCAUCCUAGCCCGGCCUUGCCCAGGCUCUGCAGCGCAGGCAGGGCCCGGCCCGGCCCCCAAAUAUUUAGGCAAGAGGAGAAACAACGCCUAGGAGGAGCGAGAAGGUUCCUGCAGGGAGAGGAGGGAGGCCGCGGCAAGCACUGCAGAGGCCGGGCACUGGAGUGGCGUGGUGUGAGCACUGAGUGUUCUGGGAUUUUAUCUCUCUAACCCCACGUAAGUGUGUCGGCAGGGAAGGGAAGAAACGACCCCUGCAGUGUUAGACUGAGCAGAGAGGAACGAGACCAGCUCCCUCUCUGUGCAGCUAUCCCUGAGGAAGGUGCCCCUUCUGACAGCCCCAGGAGUGGCACCAUUUCAGGAGGUGAGUUUGCUGAGCCAGGACUGCUGACCUGAGGGACAGACAGCUGGGUUCCUCCACACCUCCCUCACAGCUCAGCUCCAGCGAGGAUAAACUCCCACCUUUUCAACAAUGGAGGGCAAUGGAAACUGAACAGGCCCAAUCCCAGCACAGCCACCUCCAGCUGGGGCUGGGAGGGUCCUUGACUGAAGCAAUCAUGGAAUCAGUAAGGUUGGAAAAGACCUCUAAGAUCACCAACCUUUGACCAAAUCCCACCACGCCCACUAAAGCAUAUAAUGAAGUGUCACAUCCACAUGUAUUUUGAACCCUUCCAGGGGUGGAAGAGGAUACAAGCAGUGUAUAAGGUCUGUUGGGCAGCUGAGCUCCUGCUGCAACACUCCCAGCCAGGAGAUCCAGCCCUGGAUGUGACAAAGCUGUGCUGAACUGGGAGUGCUGGUUAUUUACAGACACACCACAUAGCUGGAGCUGACAGGAUUUCUAUGCCUCUUUUCACACUGUGCCUCAAAGGCAACCAGAUGAUAAGUUUGGCCAGAGAAGCUGUGGCUGCCCCAUCCCUGCAAGUGUCCAAGGCCAGGUUGGACGGGGCUUGGAGCAACCUGGGAUAGUGGAAGGUGUCCCUGCCCAUGGCAGGGGGUGGAACGAGUUGGGCUUUAACCCUCCCAAUCCAAACCAUUCCAUGACUCCAUGAAGGAAGGCUGGAGGUCUUUGCCUUGCUGGUGCAAACACAAAGUGACUCUAGAAAGGAGAGUCAGGAGGUUCUGCCCUGCGUGGGUGGCUCAGGCUGCACUGCAGGAGUGAGGGCUGUCCCUCUGUGUGUGCCAGAGGUGACUUUGGGAAAGGUGGCUCCACUCACUGCCCUUGGACUGGCAAUAUGCUCCUUUGGGAAUAAGCCAAUAUUCUGAGAGGACAGAUAUAACCUGAUCCAGGCUUGGCCUUGCUGGGAUGUGCUCCAGCCAUGACAUCACUCAGUAAUGCCACGUGUAUUUACUACCGGAGAAAGGUGCUGGAUUGGAGGCUGAAAUCCCUGGUUUAUCUCCUGAGCAGGUUAGGAGCAGGAAGCAGAAUUAGCAGGCACAGCUUGUCUUUUUCAGGCCAAGAGAAUCAGUUUCCACAGCAAACACAGGCCUGCUCUGUCUGAGAACUCACCUCUCCUAUUCCCAUGCUCCUUGUAAGACGCUCUUGUCCCUCUUGCUCUCAUCCCCCCAGGGCUCAGGAAGAUCCUCAACCCCCCCAGCCCAUCCCUUACUCAUUUCCACACAGCACUUUGCCAAUGGAGUGAAUGAAUACCUGGAGUCAGGUGGCCACUGCACCAUCCACAGACUUCUCACAAACGAGUCAAAGGAUUAAAUGAAGAGCUGAAGCUGCUGGAAGAUAAAUUCAGGCUUUUUAAAGGAUGAAAAACCACCCUGUUGCCCCACCAACAGCUAAGGCAGGACUCUGCUCCAGCAGGAAAAACCGCCCAGGUCCGCACAGGCUCAGAGUCUCUGGAAUGUUCCAGCACCCCCUGGCACAGUGCAUCUCUGUCAGGGAUUUUUAGAUUAUUUCUUUGCAGAUGACAAAUCAAAGUCAAGGGAUAGAUGUUCCCCUUCAGCACAGCAACGCCAAGUAUCCAGGAAAACCUUAGGAUUGGGAACAAAGGAUGUGCUUAAAAGACUACAUGGUUUUUCCUCAAGCACAGUGAAACUCCUCACCAGGAAAGCUUUGUUCAGCCUUUUUGCAUGAGCCAGUCCAAACCCCUCACACCUACUCCUUCCUCCAGGAACAGCUUGGGAUCAGGGUGACUGCCAGUGCUUCCUGCUGCCAUUGGAGAGGCCAGCAUGGCACUGACAAUGCUCCUCCCUGGGGCACGGAGACUCCCCAGCCCAGGGCGAACCCGGGACACGAUGCUGGGGUACAAAUCUAUCUCUGGGUCACCUCUAAAGCCCCGGGAGUGUAGGACAGGCAGGUGACAGAUGGCUGGAGGCAGGGGAUCACGGGGGCUCCACUGCGCCGUCUGCCAGCCGGGGCUCAGAAACUGCCGGAAAAGCCAGCACAGGGAAGGAGCAAUGCUCCGAGUGACACGGGCAAGGGGCAGAGCAGGGGGAGGGAGUAGCUGGGUUGUGACUCAGAGCAGAUUGCUCAGCAGGAGGGCACUCCCUGGAGAGCUGCUGGAGCGUGUGGAGCUUGGGAGAAGCCCAGGAACCCAUCUGUGUGCGGGAGGUGGCUGGAGUCAUCUCCAAACCCUGCACACUGGAGGAGGUCACUGAGCAACUGUCAUUCCACACCCCUGAAAUCCAUAAGCAGCCUGGAAACCUAAAGCCUGUCAUUAGGAAUGAUAAAAACAGUAAUUAGAACAGGGCUGUCACGAGUUCGCACCUGGAACAUCAAUACGAGGUGUUUACCCAGCAGCAGGGGAGCACUUCCCUCGGAAUCCAUCCUCUGUGGAUGCACCAGGCACAGAGCUCCAGGGACUUACUCUUCACACAGGUGUAAGUCCUGUAGGGAGCUAUGUAAAUACACUUCAUCCACCACCGCAGCAGCUCUGAGCUUUGUGGGGUCCAAAAAUGCUGCUGCUGUGUGGGCACAGGAGUUGAAUCAGCUCCGCCAGUCCUGUUCCCAGUCCUGGGGCUGCACUGGGACUCAGCUGGGUGCACAGUGGGCUGCACCGAGGAGUUAAACUCAGAUCUGGGGACAAAUGAGCUGCACUGAGUUAAACCUUCAAAAUGCUGAUCUGGGGACAAAUGAGCUGUACCAAGGAGUUAAACCUUCAAAAUGCUCAUUUGGGGAUGAGUGAGCUGUACCAAGCAGUUAAACCUUCACAAGAAGGCAGAUUUAGGUACAAGUGAGCUGUGCAUGAGUUUAGCCAUAAUCACAUCUCACAGAGCUGUGAGAAACGACCUCUUUGUAAAGCAGGUGAAAACUCAGACUUUUAUUUGUUAAUGGCAGCACAUCAUGGAACAGCUUAAAUUGGAGUGUCCUUAACAACAACAGCAAAUACACAGAUGGCUUUAAAAUGGUUUUAUUUAGUAAAACUGAGCGUGUGCAGAAGCGGGGAGGUUCCUGCUGCAGUACAACAGCUGCACUCCUUGCUGCCUUCCCAAAUGGCUGCUUGGUUUGCCAAAACUAUCACUCUUCAAAAUGUUAAUAGAUGACAUUAAUUAAAACAUGAGCCAAGCUUAAAGUAAAGAUUUUUCUAAUCAAAAUUCUUCUGAAGUUUUAUACUCUUGGCCUCUGAUAUUGGCACCUGACUGGUCACACAGGAUUUACCCUGUACUAGUCAUAAAUCACACCUUGUCUCAUCUAUUAAAAAUAGAUUCCCACCCCUUCAUCCUGAGAGGAGCUGAGUCAGCAGGGAACUGCACCCACAGUAGCACAGACCAGGAAUUUUUGACAUUAGGGUUGACAUAACAGAUCCUUCCCUCACAAGACAGUUGCUGUAAAGCUCCAGGGGAGCUCUGCUGGAGGAGUGAGAUGGGUUUGGUCACUCACAGGUGCCAGAGCAGGGGAGGGUCUGAUCCAAGUGCCAACUCCAGAUGAGACAGGGAGGAGUCCCACAGCAAGGCCUGGAGGGUCAGAGUGCUGUCCCUGAAGUUGGUGUCCUUUGAGCUUGCUGGGACAGACAGAAAUAGGCCUGAAAGCACAUUCCCCAAGUGGCCUCAUUUCCCUGCCCUCACACAGUGUUCUCUUUCCUCUUCAGCACCAAGGUAUUUAUUUUAGGAUUUAAGAGCUCACAACCUUUAGUGAAGGAUAAAGGUGCUCAACAAUUGACUGUAAUUUCUUUCUCUUUUAAGUAUUGCAAUUAAGGAGCAAAAGCCAGCCCAGGGUAGCAAAUCCAGGCAGGAUAAACAUCCCCAUCGCACAAGUCUCACCCAGAAAACCAGCAGAGCAGCCCCCAAUGAAAUCAUCCCCACUCCUGCUGUCAGCUUCCCUUCUCCAAGAACUUCAAAGCCCCUCCCUGACCCAGGCUGAGCAUCCAGGCUGUUGUGUUCAAAUAGAGAAAGGUCAGGGUGACACAGAGAGGAUUCAACUUCCUCCUCAGCGCUGAAUCUCUGACCUGGAUGACAUUCAAGGUUGCCAAGGAAGCAGUUACAGACAACUAUAUUUAGGAAAACACAUAUUCCCCCUCUGCUCGGAGGCCAACACUCACCUGCAGAGUUUUCAGGGAGGUCUGACAAGAAGCUUAAUGGAAAGGAAGCCAAAAAUCCCAACACCCUUUCUUUCGACUGGUUUAGUAGGUCUUACAGAGGAGGAAGAUGGGUAGAGAUAAAAAGACUAAGCCUAAGUGGAACACAGGACCAGCUUAACAGGCUCAGAAUAAACCUCCCUCCUGCUGUUAUUUAACAGCAGAGCUGGACACAA